rnacentral:siRNA from 1 species
CGCAUGCGCCCGCCGCCCGAU